GAUGGAUCUUGCGCCUGCGCACCUGCGUCCCGGACAUUGCAGCUGACUGCAUGAUGUGGAUGAGGGAUGCACCAGUUUCACGAUAAUUUAAUUCGACACGGUAAAACUUUCCCCGCGGUUCAUCGUACGACUGCAUACAAAUAGCACGUGGAUAGGAUUCGCCCCCAGAGGGCACUCGGGAUCACAGUUCAGAGCCCUCGGGCGACGCAGGGGUCAUCCCAACGUGACAACCCCUCCCUGAUCCGGAAAUGGAUUUCUGUGCAGCGGAAGCGCAUGGCUGUGCAUGCUGACAAGGCCAGUGGGCAGAAAUGUAUCACCCGAUACCCCAGGAACAGUUUAGGACUGCGUGGAACUAGUUGUGAUUGCAGUGAAAUGCAAACCAACGCAAUUCCCAUUAUCGUCCAUCAAGCCAAGCUGCUAAUGCUGGACAAGCUGUGCUCCUCUGCUCCUCCAUCUACUCAUGUCACCUGACGGGACUUAUGUUUGGAAGAGAAAUAAAUAAAUUGUAUUAUUAAGUUCUUGAUUUGUCCAAGCCUCUCGAAAUACG
ensembl:lncRNA